CCUUUGAAUACAGCACCUCUAGGAUUUCAUUCGACCUUCUAAAUUUCAUUCUGAAGCUCCAGGAAGGAGAAGGCAGCUAGCUUCGUGAGCCAGAUCCACGGUCCCCGGAUAUUCUCCUUCAUAUCAUACUCAUCACAUCCCCAUCCUCGCCAGCCUUGAAGUCUGCCUCAAUGUAUUCGUUUAUGAGAAAAAAAUGAUUUAAAUACUGCCAGUUACAGGCUAAUUAAUCUUUGAACUCCUCGGCAACUUCAAAUGUAUAUAGCAAGUAAUCUGCAUGAACUUGUAAUUACUAUGUAUUUAUACGAUCUUUUCCAUGUAAUCACCAAGUCGUUACAUGGUUAUGUGAGCCUUGUAAAUCAUGGUGAUAGCAGAAAACGAAUCUUGCCCGUGCCACUGCAGAAAGCCCAUUCAGGAGCCGCUAGUAUCCACCGCAGUCCGUUAAUCGAAGGAUCCAGAAAGACUCUAUGCUUUAAAGGAUAUUAGAACGCUCCCCAGCAAUAGACUCCCAACUUAAAGGAAUAUAAGGGGAUUGAGAGACUGGUGAGGUGGGCAGAUAGCAGCCUUUUUUUCCAGCUUCUGUACAGAGACUGUGAUUGGUUUGGGCCAUUUAUCCCUGCAGGAGCUAAAAGGCAAUUAGAAAAAAACAAAAAAAUGUCUAGGCAAAAUCCACCGUUGGUUGUGCAAGCAGCGUUCUGCUGUGACUUGGGGAAGGUCCUGAAAUAAAUUCCAGUGUGAGUUUCCAGAGCAAACCCUGAGGCGGACUUGGGUUGUCAUCUUUUUUGAACCCAAUUAAAGUGGAAGCAAAACCUCCAGUUUUUCCAGACCAGGGCUUCUGUCCCAACUCUUCAAAAG